CAGGGCAGUGUUAAACUAUAGUGUAGGAGACAGCCUAACACUGAACUGCACGGUUCAGUUCUGUGCAAAUGGAGUUCAGUUGCCUGAGGCUCACUGGUGUAAGAUGCAUGGAAAGACUUGUCAGCCAGUGACUGGAAGGACUCUUUAUCCAAACAUGACAUAUUCUCCUCAAGAUACGGAAAAGAAGAUGCUGGUAAUUCAUAUCGUUUCUCAUGUUGAACUGAGUACCAGUGGCGUUUACCAGUGUCAGGCAACACAAGGGGUUGUAACCACAGUGGGUCAGUUCGUGAGUGUAAACGUGGGUGAAACUUCACCUGCAUGUACAGUGUGGAAAUGGUACAGCAUUGGCAGAUGGAUCGUAUUUGGUUUGCUGGUCAUGACACCUAUAUCAUUGUGCGUCCUAAGGUGUGGCUAAGUAUGAUCUUGGACCAACAUCACCACUUGUUCUUCUCUGCAAUUCAUUAACUGUUGG